rnacentral:rRNA from 1 species
GUGGAGAGAGAGAGUAAAGAGAGAGAGGGUGCGCUAGGGGUUUAGCGGCGGGGACGGCGGCCGGAGGGGACGGUUGAGGCCGCUCGAGACCGCGGCAGGUCGUAUGGGUGCCGAGGGGGAGUGGCUCGAGAUGGACGAGGUGGAGAAGCUAGACGAAAGGGGACGGAGCACACCAGCGAGCGAAGCCAGUUUGGAGCGAUCCCAAAGCCACGAACGCCCCGAUCCAGCGGCCGCACCAAGGCCGCGGAACGAGGCCACACUGAACUUAGGACCGACACGGAUCCACAGCGUGCGCAGUGACUACGCCGGGACCAGCGACCGCUACGCCGCCAGCGGACGGAGAGGUGCCGAAGCGCAUGGAGCGGAGGACGGCGGCACACUACCGCCACUCAACCGGUGUGGCGUUGGCGCCGCCACCGCUACGUGCCGGAACCGAUAUUGGGGAAGUACAACGAGGAACUAGCAUUGGUUCGGGUACUACGACCAGACUCCGAGGAACUGGAAUUGCUGAACCGAGAGGUUCGUUGUUUUAGUCAAGUCGACGCGAGAACCAAGGAGAAAGAACGAAUAACCAGUCUAAGACUUAGAUCUAAGAUGAUAAAACCAAGUAUAAGGUAACUAAACCAUGCGAUGUAGAUGUAACUACGUAGUUGAGACGAGGUAUUUAUACCUAUGUACAAACGUCCGUCAAAAGAAGCUGUCAAAACACAACGGUAACGAGGGUCAGUAGUCUAAGACAAUUAACUUUUCCUAGGUUUGUUCCGUCAAGGUAACAAGACUCGUCGAGAAUUGUCACCACUUGUUAACUCUCACGUAACUUCCUAUACCGAUGACAUGACUUUGUUCGUUUGGCCCGACUUCUUCGGUAGCUACGCUAUUCUAGGAAGGCACUGGCAACAGGUUUACUUCGAGCCCUCAGAGAACUGUUAUAAGAAGAACUGGAUAUGUUCUUUACGCCAUCCUGUUUUCUUGUCUAACUUUACGAGGUCCAAGAAAACUCAAGGAUCAUCACCAGAACCAAGUAAUAAAUUAAGGUCCUAAACACUCAAGGAUCAUCCCUUGUGUACCUGUACUUCGGUGCCGCCGCUGCUUAUGCUAUAGCUGUAACCCGACGCCGCUGCUACUACUGCUGCUGUAGCCGUAGCUGUGUCCCGAUGUCGCCGCUGCUUCUGCUGCUGUAGCAGUACCACGACGACGCCGUCACUGCUGCUGCUGUAGUUGUGCCGGAACACCUCCGCGGCUGCGGCUGCUGUAUCUGCGCACCGUAUAUAACACACACACAAACACGCGCACGCACACACACACGCACACGCACACAAUU